GCUAGCGGGAAGCUAGACCGGGACUGGAACUGAGUUAGUCAGGAGGGGUGCGGGCGGCCAAACCAGCGGCCGAACCACGUAACCUGAGGCCAGCCCGGAUCUGGAGAUUUUCCGUGAAGUGUCGGAACAGCUCUCUGCUAUGGCCUAGGAAAGCAGUGGAAGAUGGCCCAAGUCCUUAGGCCCCAGCACCCAUGUGGGAGACCCAGAAGAAGCUCCUGGCUCCUGGCUUCUAAUCGGUGCAGCUCUGGCCAUUGCGGCCAAUUGCGGAGUGAACCAUCGGAUGGAAGACCUCUCUUUCUCUCUCCUCUCUCUGUGUAAUUCUUUUGAUUAAAUGGAUAAAUAAAAAUAAAUAAAUAGUUUUAAACUGGGAGAAGAUAUGACCAGAAAGCUAAAUAGAAAAUGCAAUCAGGAUCCGGCACUGUGGCACAGUAGGUUAAUCCACUGCUUACGACGCCAGCAUCCUGUGUCAGAGCACCGGUUAGAGUCCCAGCAGCUCAGCUUCCAAUCCAGCUCCCUGCUAAAGUGCCUGGGAAAACACUGGAAGAUGCCCAUGUACCUGGGCUCCUGUCACCCAUGUGGGAGUCCAAAUGGAGUUCUAGGCUCCCAGAUUGGCCUGGCCCAGCCAUUCAUGGAGUGAGCCAGUGGAUGGAAGAUCUCUUCUUUUCUCUUAGUCUCCAUCUCUGUCACUCAGCUUUUCAAAUAAAUAAAUAUUUUUAAAAAUAAAUAAAAGAAAAUGUCACCAAAGCUAUAAAGAGAAAAAACAUUUCAGAAUGAGCCAGAGCCCCAGUUGUGUUUGUGGGCCAGCAAGGCCCGGGGUUGGGGAAGGAGCAUGUGAAAUGCUGUCCAGGAGAGGUCGGCAUCCAGGAUGCUGCAUUUCUCAUCCGGGAGGUGACCCAUUUGCGAGACAGCAUCAAACAGCGGACAAUGAGCGAACACAAGAGAAACCAGGUCUCUGUUUAAGGCAACAGGAAAUGAUCACCAUGCAGGAGGAAGACACCGGAGGACCUGUGUUUGGGCCAGGAGGAAAGCCGCAGUGUGGUUGCCAGCAGUGUGGCUGCCGAAAGAGUUAGAUGGAGAGCAGCAGCAGAGCAAAGACAGCUGGGGCCAGGAGGCCGGUGUCCGCCCCCGCCCAGAACAGAGAAGGGACCAGCAAGACAAAGGCAGGCAGCCCAGACCCAGGCCCAGAAGGGUGGGGUCCAACUGCCCCAGGGCGUCCACAGGCCAAUCCAAACACCUUGUGCAUUUUCAAGCUGUGUUUCAGCAAGGCUGGGGAGAAGAGAGAGGCCUCUUGGCCUUAGGCAACUUCUAGGUGUCCAUGACCACGUCAUGGAAACCUGUUUAGUCAGCCUCCCAAGGUGGUCAGACCAGUCUGGACCUGACGGAAGGCUGAAUUUUCAAAACUGCUUUGGAGGAAGAGCAGGCGUGUUGCAGCAGGGUAAGGUCGAAUCUGAGCACUGGUUCAAGUCCCAGCUCUUCUAAUCCAGCUUCCUGCCAAUGCGCCCUGGGAGGCAGUGAAUGGCAGCUCGAGUGCUUGGGCCCCUGACACCCUCAGGAGACCUGGCCGGAGUUCCAGGCUUCUGGCUUUGUCCUGGCCCAGUCGUAACUGUUGUGGGCAUCUGGGAAGUGAACCAGCAGAUAGAAGAUCUCUCUCUCUCUCUCUCUUUUGCUCACCCUACCUUUCAAGUAAAUAAAUAAACAUGAACAAAAAAAUAUGUUUUUAAAAAUACAUUGGAAGGAAGUCAAACAAGGUGAAUAAUCUGGAAUUAAUUUUCAACCUGUGGGGUGGAAUGACAUGGAAAAUGAGGAGUUCUUCUCUGCCCCUGACUGGCUGAAGACCUAUGCAAAGGCACUGCACCCAAGCUGUUCAGCGUUCUUGUCUGUCAUAAGGGAGAGGAAAAAUUCCUCUUGAAAAAAGCUGACAUAUCCCAAUAAGGGUAAAAUCCAUUUAAAUUCUUGACCGGAAAUCUAAUUUCUUGAGAUGACAUACAUUACAGAGUACAUAUACUUCCAACAGUCUCUAGAAAAUGGAAUUAAAGAUAAGUUUAUUUUGGUGCAAAGGCUUUUGAAAAUCGUGUAUACAAGGUGUCUUCAAAAGGUUCACAGAAAACAUGUAUUAUGAAAAAGUAUGCAUGGCUUUCAAAUGUUUUGCACCAAGAUAAACUUAUUUUUAAAUUUCAUUUUCCAUGAACUUUUAGAAAUACCUUCAUAUAUAUUUGCAUAUUUUGCAUAUAUUAUAUGUACAGUAUUAGCAAAAAUUUGUUAUUGCCCAAUAUUAGUCUUUUUUUUUUUUUUUUUUUUUUUUUUUUGAGCACCAGAGACAGCUCCCAUCCACUUGCUGACUCCUCAGAAACCUGCAGUGGCCUGGGGCUGGGCCGGAUGGGAAACAAUCCAGGUACCCAACAUGGGCCAUGCAAAUCCAGCUGCAUGGUCCAAAAUUACUGCUGCCCAGAGUCCACACUAGAAAGCCACUGGGGUCAGAAGCUGGAGCCAGGUGGCCGGCGCUGUGGCACAGCAGGUUAAAGCCCUGGCGUGAAGCACCAGCGUCCCGUAUAGGCAGCGGUUUUAGUCCCAGCUGCUCCACUUCUGAUCCAGCUCUCUGCUAUGGCCUGGGAAAGCAGCAGAAGAUGACCCAAGUCCUUGGGCCCCUGCACCCAUGUGGAAGACCCAGAGGAAGCUCCUGGCUCUUGACUUCGGAUCAGCACAGCUCUGGCCGUUGCGGCCAUCUUGGGAGUGAACCAGCGGAUGGAAGACCUUUCUCUCUGUCUCUACCUCUCUCUGUAAUAAAUAAUAUAAAUCUUAAAAAAAAAAAAAAAAAAAAAGGCAGCUUAAAAAAAAAAAGCUGGAGCCAGGAGCCAAAUCGAAGUAUCCUGUUGCAUGAUGUGGACUUCCCAACUGGAGUCUUCAUGGCUAGGCCAAACGACUUCCUUGUUUGCUUUAAUGGUAUAUUUUCUCAUAUAAUCCUCAUGAGAUAUGAUAGAGUUUUUUUUAUUAUCCCCAUUUACAGGCAUGGAGAGCCAAAUAACUUGUCCAAGAACAUUCAGAAAGGACAGAGCUGGGAGUCAGCCCCGUGAGCCUGAUUCCAGAGCCCACGCUUUGGAUUGGGCAGCCCACCCCGAAUGUAGAUGUAUUUUGAGAGGGAAGCAUUGGAGACAAAUAGCUGGGGCCAAAGCAAACGAGGUCAGCCAAGUUCCAGUCCUGCUUGUGCUAAUAGGUCUCAGAGCAGUCAUCUUCCCUCUCCAGGGCUUGGGACCCCUUUAUGUAUUUUACAGGCGGAGCUUGAAGGGCUCUUCCAACUGCACCGCUCCGAGAUUAUCUUUGAGCUUGUCAGUCACAACCUACUCUGAUAUGGAAGGCAGGAUUCAGUUAGCGCCUGGGCUGAAGAGUCCCUGUAUCUUCCCCAGGUGUUGUCUUAACCCUUGGCUUCCCUAGGCUGUGCCCCAGGAGACUCACCUGCGUCCUGGGGGCUCCCCUCCCCUUUGCUCCCUGUGGUUGGAAUUGGCAGGUAAACACAAAUACACACACCAGCUGCUCUGCCCUAUGUUCUGGCCAUGGCUGGGUUCUCCCACUGCCACAGCUCCAGUCUGGGCACUUUAGACCGAGGAGUGGAGAUGGCCUCCUGCUCUUGCUCGUCCCCAGGUGCUUCUCCACCACCUGUUGGUUGGUUUCCUCAACUGCCCAUACCCCCUGCCAAGUAAUCCUUCAUUCAAUACUCUGUGUGUAAAACCUUAAGCAUGCUGUUCCCCGGGGGCCCUGACUGCCGCAGACCCCUCAGUGAUGCAGUGGCUUUCCUCUUUGUCCUUGCUACCAUGACACUGGAACUCCCCCCACCUGUCAAGAACCAACACAGGGAUCCCAGGCCCCCUUUCAGAGUCCUACUGGCAUCCCCCACCAAGCCCAUAGGCCCUUCCAGAGUGAAAGAAGAGGACUCCCCCAUUCUCCCAGUGGGGUGGGAGCAUCAGCACCAGUGCUUUGUUUGCCUGGAGUCUAUAAAAACCCUGGGGCUCCUUGGAGAGAGAAAAUAUGGAGUCAGACAGCCCUUGCUUUGAAUCCUGGCUCGGCUACUUCCUGACUGUGAGAACUCCCUGUGCCUGAGAUGCCUCAUCUGUAAACUGGUAAUAACAACAUGUGCCUCGCAGCCGGCACUGUGGCCAACAGCUAAGCCAUGGCCUGCAAAGCUGGCAUCCUGUAUGAAUGCCACUUAGAGUCCCAGCUGCUCCACUUCUGAUCCAGCUCCCUGCUGAUGCACCUGGGAAAGCAACAGAAGACGGACCAAGUGCUUGGGCCCCUGCAUCCAUAUCACAGACCCAGAUGGAAUUCCAGGCUUCUAGCCCUGGCUGUUGCAGCAAUGUGGGGACUAAACCAAUGAAUGAAAGUGCUCGCUCACUCUCAAUCUCUCUCUCCCUCUCUCUCCCUCCCCCUCCAUUCUCUAACUCUGCUUUUUGAAUAAAUAAAAUAAAUCAUAUAAAAAAAUUUCCCUUCCUCUCUAUUAGGAAACUAGCAAGCCCUGAGAACAAUUAGAAGAAGUAAUGUGACUUCUCCAGAAAUACCAUACCACCUCCUGCAGUUCUUCAAUGGAAUAGACAGGUGCUGGUUUGGCAACAAACCAAGAAGGGGGGUGGGAGUGGGGGGAUUAAAAAGAAUAACUCAUCAGAAACCAGGCUUUUGUUGAAAAAAAGAAAGAAAAAAAAAACAAUGCCCAAACCUAACUGCAGCAAGCAAUUAGGGAACAAUAGCUAACUACUUUCUAUAAUUAGCGAGAGAAAGCAUCGCAAGUGAUCAGAGCGCCUUUGUCUGCUCUGACCCUCUGCACUGGGAAAGAUCACGGCUCACGUGAGUUGCAGACUGGGGAUCUUGGCAUCCUUUUAAGUUUUCUGGAGGGACUGAAUCUCACACCGCCCUUCUGUUGCAGAGACAGGAGGGCAGUAGGGUGAUGAAGACUUUCUCAUCAGAAAAGAAAGGCAACUGGGAACGUGACUCAUGCACGGGCAAGUUCAGUGCUGAUGGGGGAGGGGGAAAGGGUCGUACCACCUCCCCCCAGGGCUACAAACAUGCUGUUGGUGCCAGGUGCGUGGGCUGGCAUCGCUGUGGGAGGAAGAGGCAAAUGGCUAGGACAUUCCCCCAACAUGCCCCUUUUGCGGAAUAUGAAGCAAGUCUUUAUCUCUAACAAUGGAUGCCCCAGACAAAAGCAAAGAAGAUAUGCCCACAAACAUGCACACGAGAGAGUUGCUCUCUUGGCCUUGACUGCAGGAGCAAGCUAGCUUCCUUGCCCAAUCUCGCUGUUCUCCCAGGCCCCCAGCCUCCCCACUGGCCAUCCUUGUCACUUCACUCUUCAAUCCCUUAUCCCCAGCCUACUGCCACUUCCUUCCAUCUACUCUGCCGUCUCUGCUCCUCCCCAUUUCUGUCAUCACAAGCAUUGUCAAGCUCCCCAUCCCCCACCCCCCAGACCAGGUAUUUUCACUGACUUCCAUCAGUGUCUGUGUGGUCCCCCUCCCCCACACAGACAAUCCACAUGGCACUGGAUUCACUGGGCCACCCUUCAUGCUGGCAUUAUCUCCACUGGGGUUCAAGUGUCCUGGCAAUGCACUUGGAUAGGUUAGUGUCUCCCCUGGGUGCCCUUUACCGGUUCAGGGCACCCCAUCACUCUGAGAGACCUGAGCCUGGAAAAGGGCACCCCAUCACUCUGAGAGACCUGAGCCUGGAUCAAGGUGCAGCUAUUUUAGACUAGGCCUCCAUCUUGUAACUCGGACCUGACUGGGCCCUGAACCCUAAGCCAAAAGCUCCUAAAAAAAAGAAAAUAAAA